GGCAGAGACAUAGACAGAGACAGAAGACAGAGACAGAGAGAGGCAGAAGGAGAGACAGGCAGAGACAGAGACAGUAGAGACAGGAGAGACAGAGAAAGGGGAGCUAGAGAAAGAGAGACAGAGGCGGAGCAAGGCGCCUGGAAGGCCCCAGACGUCAUCUGUCCCCCUCUGGCAGUUUGCCCUGAAAUACAGACCCUUCUUCUCCUAGCCCAAGUCGGGAGCGCGGUUCCCACGCUGCAGCACAAUGCCCCACACCGUGAGGGAGCAGCCUGCCCGAGUGCCCCCGACUGCCCCGAGUGCUCCCUGAGUGCCCCCUGACUGCGCCUCCGAGUGCCCCGAGUGUCCCCUGCCUGCCCUCCUGAGUGCUCCCUGAGUGCCCCCUGACUGCCCCUUUGCCCCGAGUGUUCCCUGACUGCCCUUCUAACUACCCCGAGUGCCCCCAACUGCCCAAGUGCCCUCGACUGCCCCCCCAGUGCCCCCUGAGUGCCGCCCGCCUGGGCCUUUAGCAAGUGCUCAGCACAGGCUACCCCAACGUCUGCCUUUAGUGACAUAAAUUCCAUUUUGAUGUGAAACUGCCCAGCAUUUUAUGUCCCUGUUUGGGGCUUUGACUGAGCCCCUUGGGAACCGUGUGCCCAGAUGCGGCCAUCUAUGCAGAGUCCCCAGGGAGACGCCAUGACGAGCGCCCUGUGAUUCUCCAGCGGCCGUGGCCAGCCGUGGCCAGCGCACCUCCCUGGCCCAGGCCUCACCCCUCUGGGGAGCUCUGCAAGUCUGUGUCGGUCUCACAGACGCCUGUCCCCACUAACUGCACCGCGCCUGGCUCCUGAACACCGCGACAUCUCCGGGACCCUGGCUUUGCGGUACAUUGCUGUCACCUCCUUAACUGGAUGCCCUCGUCUUGAGUUUGGUGGCCUUGACUCCAACCCAGCUUCCUCGGCAGAGUGGAAGGGCACAGUUCCACGUGGGUCACUGCAGAAGUGCUGUGUCCUCUGUAGAAUGCUCAGUGGCCUUCUCUGGGCCAUCAGACACAGGCACCGGGCCCAGAGAGCUGUCCUAAGCCCAGAGUCACUCUAGGAAUCACUGCAACAGGAGACAGAGGACCUGCCUCUGGAGACCUGGCUCCUUCUCCGCCUGGACAGAUGGAACUCUCACUUAGCAUCCUCCCCUGGCAAGUGGACAUGGAAACAGCGCCCUCCCACGUGCCAGGGUGGCUGAAGCCUUGACUCGUGAGCCAGCCCAGGCCUCUGAGUCUGCAGCUUGUUGACACCUUGAAAAACUAACAGCAAGACUCGGGCACACACACCCUGGUCCACCAGGCUGUCCACAUGGGGAAUCAUGCACCAGGAGCAAGCGGACUUCAUCUUAGGGACAGGAGGAUGAGUCAGCUUGAGAAAAAUCCACUGUCAGAACAGAGUCCCCCCCAAAGCACCUGGUACCAGCUUGGGGACUCUUGGGACAGCCGGACACACCAUGCCUUCCCCGGUCCGUGUUCCAAUGGGCUGGUCUGAAGCAUCCCCCAAAGCCCACCCUGAUGUUUCUGGUUCUCCGGGUGACCUCAGUGGGGAGGGGCACAAAUCAUCCCAGACUUUUAAGUCCUGGCGAGACCUGCCUCCAGCAGAGCGCCAGGGGUCGGGGCGUGUGGACACACCACCCUUACCUGGCGGGUCUGCAUUUCCCCUGACGCUGUCACCAAGAACAAAGUCCUUGAAACCAGUCUUCCAAACAUAAAUAAGCCUCCGUUCAAGUCAAGGAAAGUACGAGCCCCUUGACAUUUGCCAGACUGGAUCCUAGAAAGACCUCUGGGGCGGAUGCAGGGAGCCCCAACCAACGGCCACCUUCCUGGCCUUCUGCUGACCCCCCAGGAAAAUCUGCCUCCCAGCCUCCAGCGGGGGGGUGGGCCCGAGAGGCACCUCCUGCAGGAAGACACUGAAGACCCCGCUGCAGGCAGGGAGCAGAACAGGACUGUCCCCAGAGGCAAAGCAGGGCCCCUGGGAGGAAUUUUCCAAGCUGCCAGUGCAUUUGGGGUGGGGUGGGGCAGGUCUUGGUCUGGCCAUCCCUGCUGGCCUCUGUCCUGUAGCCCCUGCCUUAGGGAUGGUAGCAGCAGUCACAGCCUGGCCAUGUGGGGCUCACUCAAGCUGUGCCCGAGCCCCAGGAGCGGUCAGGAUGUGGAGCCCCAGGCUUGUGGGGAAAGGGCUGCCAGCCUCUGGCCCUAACCCCACAGCCCACCCCACUGCCAUGCCUGCUUCUGUCCCCACAGACAGUUCCCUCCCCCUUUCAGCGUGUCCCCAGGGAACCUAGCACCUCCUUUGGGCCUUGAUCACUUGGUGGCCUGAACCCAUGGGUCCUUCCUUAGCUGCAGAGGCUGGGUGAUCUGUGCCCUGCUGGUAGCUCACAGGCAGCCGGUGGUCCCCAAGGCUUUGGCACCCUGGAGUUGUGGCCAGGAAAGGGCAGAUUGCACACCACAUCCAGAACCCUAGCUCGUGGGUCCUGCAACCAGGGGGGAAUGGGGAAGCAGGCCCCUGUGUACUGCCCACAGUGCCCAGGAGGCUGCAGCUCAGGGUCCUGGUUCUGCACGGUGUCCAUACCCUCCACCACUCCACCCGAGGACUCCCCACGGUCAUCCCUGAGCUCCAGGGCACGCACGGGAGGCCCUGUGCUCCAGGCUGCCUCCCGGCCCCUCCCCUUUCCUUCCGCUGCCUGGCCCCACCCAAGGUCCUCCUGUCCAGGGCGCCCCACGCCCCAGAGCACUACUGGUGCCCCAGUGGGCACUCGAGGGGCUGCCUGCCCCCAGCUGUGCUGAGACCCAGCUCUCGCGCCUUCCCGUCUGCUGCGCACACUCCAGCCCCGCGGCCCGGAACCCAGCCUCCAGGGAAUCCUCCCAGGGCCACCCAGACUCCCCACCUCAGGGCUCUGCUCACUGGGGUGGGACUCGGUGGCCCACUCCUGGCCCUGUGAGAUGUGAGGGAACCGAAGAGGUCCCGGGGCCAAGGAGGGUCAAAACCUGGGCCGAGCCAGUGUGGCCCCCAGGACAGUGACAUGCCCCGUCCAGGCUGGGGACUUCCUCCCUCAGCGAGGCUGGAGCAGGGAGUGGGAGCACAGCAGGCUGGAGGCCUGAGGCCAGCUCUGGGGGUCUCCCAGGGACAAGAGAGACGGCCAGGCAGCCUGCCAUCCCCGGUCUGUUCUUCCUCUGCGGCUCUGGUGGGCGGGUUUCCCGUGGCCUAGGAGCCCAGGGAGCUCCCCGAGAAGGGCUCGCGUGCCCCCUUGUGGCGGCAUGGCAGCAGUGGCUAUAGACCCUGGCCUCUACCGGAGACUCGUGGGUGAGGAAGGGGCUCCUCUUCUGGGACCCUCGGGAACCACCCAGGGCAGCGCUGACACGCCCGAGAUCAGACAUCAACAAUCCACUCCCAGAGCCUGAAGGGGAAAUCGGUGGGCCCAGGGUGCCAGUGGGGGGCUCGCGGGCCCCGGCAAGGCUGGAAGACACCGCGGCACAGGAGGCCUGGAGGCAGAGUCCGCCAGGGGCUGAGCAGACAGGCCACCUGCACAGAGUCCCACAACUUCCGAGUGGACUCCAGCCUCUUAGAGGAGGCGCGAGGCCAUGGCCUCUAGCCCUGUGGGCCGCCCUGUCCUCAAGGCCGAGCACCACUGUGAGGUGGAAGCGGGCCUUCAAAGUGGAGCCUGGGGCAGAGACGGAGGCCCAGGCCCCCAAUCCCAGAGGCAGGGACGCAGCAGCCUCUGGGGCCUGCUCUGGUUCCUGGUGUGGGGAUUCAUGGAGCCCUGUGAGGACGGCUCAGCUGCGACCUGGGCUGCACCCUGCACCAGGGCCAGGCACAGAAGUGCAUCCCGCAGCCUUGGUGUGGGGCCUCACUGCUGUGGGACCUGUUGUCCUCAGAACACUCAGCGCCUCGGGCUCCUGGCAGGGAGGACCCUGCAGGGAAGCCCAUCCUGGGGGGCUCUGUGCACACAGGGGAGGGGCACACUGGAACACGUAGGCAUACAAGGUUUUCUUCAUCAAGGAGGUGCUCUGUCCAGGGGGGAGUGUGGGGUUUGUUUUCCUUGAGAGGAAAGAACCCAGAGUCCCCAGAUGGGAGGCCUGCUGACCUCGGGGGUGUUCUGAGCCCUAGAACUCCUUGUGGGGCCCUCUCCAGGCCAAUGGGCUGUGAGGCGGCCAGGCCUGGCCUGGGGUGGAGCAGGUGUGGAGCCUGCUUUUCUGCAGAGCGAGAGGCCUGGGCAGGCAAGGGCUCACAGCCUGGGGUCACCUCAGCUGGCUGCUGGUGGAGCUGCAGUGCCCAGGGGCAAGCUGGAGAUGGCAGAGUGGCCAGGCUUCCUGGCGGCGGUCCAAGCCGCCCACAGUGAAGGUGGCGCUCAGCACUAGGGUCUGCGCGGGAGGCUCCCCACAGCCAGCCAGGCUCCUGGGUGUCCAUUUUUCCCUGAGGGGGAGUCUUCACAGGCAUAAGUGUUUCCAUACCUCUUAGAUAAACACAGAGGGUGCAGCAGCUGGGUCAUACAGUAGCCAUGUUUUUAGCUACAUAAGAAACUAUUGGACCCCAACUGCAGCCCCAUUUUCUUCUUAAAUCCUGACCCAGAAGCACAGAUGCUUGGACCUCCCUGGGCUGUCCAGCUGCAGGCUUUCCUGCAGGCUUGGACCAAGCCUGUAGUCCUCAGCCCCACAGAUGCAAUGGGAAGAGCACCCCUCCUGUUGCAGUGAUUCACUUGCAGGUCAGCAUGGGAAAAGAAAGAAGAAGCAGAACAAGCGAAGCAGCAGCAGGAAAAAAGUCCUUUACUGUGUACAGCGAUCUUUUUAUAGUAUUGUGAACAAAGAAGGCAGCCUUCCAACAGCAGUGAAUCAGGUCUUUCAGCUAAUUAAACAUAGCACACAGAAGUUUACUUCCUAAUCAGAAGUGACCCGCUUCUCAUGGCUAGUCUAUUCUCGGCCCGG